rnacentral:rRNA from 1 species
GACGAACGCUGGCGGCGUGCCUAAUACAUGCAAGUUGAGCGCUGAAGGUUGGUACUUGUACCAACUGGAUGAGCAGCGAACGGGUGAGUAACGCGUGGGGAAUCUGCCUUUGAGCGGGGGACAACAUUUGGAAACGAAUGCUAAUACCGCAUAAAAACUUUAAACACAAGUUUUAAGUUUGAAAGAUGCAAUUGCAUCACUCAAAGAUGAUCCCGCGUUGUAUUAGCUAGUUGGUGAGGUAAAGGCUCACCAAGGCGAUGAUACGUAGCCGACCUGAGAGGGUGAUCGGCCACAUUGGGACUGAGACACGGCCCAAACUCCUACGGGAGGCAGCAGUAGGGAAUCUUCGGCAAUGGACGAAAGUCUGACCGAGCAACGCCGCGUGAGUGAAGGAGGUUUUCGGAUCGUAAAACUCUGUUGGUAGAGAAGAACGUUGGUGAGAGUGGAAAGCUCAUCAAGUGACGGUAACUACCCAGAAAGGGACGGCUAACUACGUG